rnacentral:rRNA from 1 species
CUACGGGUUGCUCCAGUGGGGAAUAUUGCACAAUGGAGGAAACUCUGAUGCAGCAACGCCGCGUGGAGGAUGACACUUUUCGGAGCGUAAACUCCUUUUACAUAGGAAGAAGAUGACGGUACUAUAUGAAUAAGCGCCGGCUAACUCCGUGCCAGCAGCCGCGGUAAUACGGAGGGCGCAAGCGUUACUCGGAAUCACUGGGCGUAAAGAGCGUGUAGGCGGAUUAAAAAGUCAGAAGUGAAAUCCUAUAGCUUAACUAUAGAACUGCUUCUGAAACUCUUAAUCUAGAAUAUGGGAGAGGUAGAUGGAAUUUCUGGUGUAGGGGUAAAAUCCGUAGAGAUCAGAAGGAAUACCGAUUGCGAAGGCGAUCUACUAGAACAUUACUGACGCUAAGGCGUGAAAGCGUGGGGAGCAAACAGGAUUAGAUACCCCGGUAGUC